CGCCCCCGCCAUUGUGGAGAAUGAAGGGUUCAGGCAGCUGGUUCAGCUCCUUGAGCCCUCAUAUGUUUUGCCAACCAGAAAGACCAUCAAACAAAUGUUGGGCAAAAAGUAUGAGGAGGAACGGGAACGAGUGAAAAUGGAAGUACAGCAGGAUGUGGCAUUCCAAGUGCAAUGAGGCCCUCAGCAGACUGCGGACAGACUGUGCAUCAAUACUUGGAAGCACAAAUGAGCCCCAGCCAGGAACUUCUUCACAACAGCUGUCUGCCCCCA